CAGAGGCAAAUCGGCCACUAAGACACCCAAGACCAGGAGACAAACCCAAGCCGUUUGGGAAGCCAGGAGUACCAGAAUAAGCGUUUGGGAAGGUGUACAGGGACAGCAGCAAUUUUCCCAGUUCAAUCAACCGAGCGGGAGUGAGCGCAAGGAGCAGGGAACGCCUGGAGUUGAGAAUUCAGCUCGUGGCAGAAGCAAAGUUGCACCUUCUAAACUCAAAUUUUCACGGUUUCUUGAUGCUAUUCAGUACUUAAAGAUGCAAAUAGGAAAAAUAGCAGGAGCCAUCUGUUCCAACCAGCCAUCGUUUAACUGGGUGCAUCUCUAAAAGUGGCACAGACCAGGUGUUACCAUUCCCCAACUCACUCCUCACAGACGGAUUUUUGCCCAUUAAGAAACCUUCUUCCACACCAGCAUUCAGAUGCAAAAGAUGGGAAUGCGAAUACAAUGCUUUUCCUCAUCGAAUACUUCCUGAAAAACUUGCCAGCAAGUUUAUCAGUGCCUCGCAUUUUAUGUGCUGUACACUGAAUAUUUUUUUAUUGAGCUGAAAGUGCUGCUGAUCUCCAAAGGGCAUCAUACUCGAAGAUGGAGCACUGACAGCAAAGAGGUAAAGGGUUUUUUAUAUGUUUUGCUUUUAAUUAAACCCUCAGAGCAGAGUAUGAGCCCACAGUUCUGAUAUACAUGCCAUAAUGAGAGCUAAAUAUUCCACUUGCAACAGUACAGGCUCAGUAAUCUAACACUGAUAAAUUACUUAAAUGAGAUAGUAACAGCUAUAAUGGACACGUAUUUUCCCAGCCCUUAAUGAAAUAACAUUCAUCUUCUGAAAGAAAAGAAAUACAACAGUGCUUUGCUUUCAAGGCCACUUUCUUUGCCCAUAAAAAUGUAUGUUUUCAUUCCAUUCAUUUAUUGGGAGUGAUGAAGGAAGACAGAUUAAAUCACAGAUCCUAAAGAAAUUUCAGUAUCUAAAUUCCUGGAUGAACAAUAGGGCCAAUUUUCUUAUUUCAAUAUCAAAACAAGAUUUUUUUAUCACUCAGUUUUUCCCAUUCAACCACAUACAGGCAUUUCAGAUCAGAUUCAUCUUGCUGUGUACCUUUGGUUGUAUGGAAUUUGUUCAUGAAUAGUUGAACUGAAAAGCCCAUAAUUCUAAACCAGCAGCUUUCACUAAACAAACAUCAUGUUCUCAUAACGUAGAGCAAGUUCUUCUCC